UACGUAGGUGGCAAGCGUUGUCCGGAUUUAUUGGGUUUAAAGGGUGCGUAGGCGGUUCCAUAAGUCAGUGGUGAAAUACGGCAGCUCAACUGUCGAGGUGCCAUUGAUACUGCGGAACUUGAGUACUGAUGAGGUAGGCGGAAUUGACGGUGUAGCGGUGAAAUGCUUAGAUAUCGUCAAGAACACCGAUAGCGAAGGCAGCUUACCAAGCAGUAACUGACGCUGAGGCACGAAAGUGCGGGAUCAAACAGG
rnacentral:rRNA from 1 species